rnacentral:sRNA from 1 species
UCUGCUUUAAUUUGCUCUUUCCUGUGUUGCCCCAAAGCAACUUUUUCCUGUAUUUUAUUUAGUUUCCUGAUGCAAGAAGAAGGUUCCAGCCAGCAAGCGCUUCACCAUCCACAGAACAUCCAAUGUCUUAACCCUUUCCCUCAAGCGCUUUGCCAACUUCAGCGGAGGGAAGAUCACCAAGGAUGUAGGCUAUCCGGAAUUCCUCAACAUACGUCCGUAUAUGUCCCAGAAUAAUGGUGAUCCUGUCAUGUAUGGACUCUAUGCUGUCCUGGUGCACUCGGGCUACAGCUGCCAUGCCGGGCACUAUUACUGCUACGUGAAGGCAAGCAAUGGACAGUGGUACCAGAUGAAUGAUUCCUUGGUCCAUUCCAGCAACGUCAAGGUGGUUCUGAACCAGCAGGCCUACGUGCUGUUCUAUCUGCGAAUUCCAGGCUCUAAGAAAAGUCCCGAGGGCCUCAUCUCCAGGACAGGCUCCUCCUCCCUUCCCGGCCGCCCGAGUGUGAUUCCAGAUCAUUCCAAGAAGAACAUCGGCAACGGGAUUAUUUCCUCCCCACUGACUGGAAAGCGACAAGACUCUGGGACGAUGAAG